rnacentral:tRNA from 1 species
GCCCCAGUAGCUAAGAUGUUACAGCACCGGUCUUGUAAUCCGGAGAUCGGAGGUUAAAAUCCCCCCUGGUGCC